CCCCAGAUGUUGUUGGACUACAACUCCCAUCAUCCCUGAGCUCUGGCCUUGCUAGCUAGGGGUGAUGGGAGUUGUAAUUCAGCAACAUCUGGGG